UCUCUACAACCGGAGAGGAAUUGUUCUCAUCAUACCUGGAGAUACUAGGAACUCAGCCCAGGAGUUUUUGAAUACAAGGCAUGUGUGCUGACACCGAUAGAUUUAUGCACACAAUAUUAUUUCUACUAAUCUAGUGACUACUAUAUAUAUCACUCUUCUAACUUGUAAAGAGGCACAAAGGUACAUUCAUAGAACAUGGUGGCUUGGUCCCUACUAGUCUCCACGAACAGUCUCCAAACCUUCUUCCCGCAACCCUGUUGUGCUCUCCUACAGUUCCCAAGAAGCCACUGACUAUCCUACCAGAGAAAUCUUCUGUGUUCCUGAUUUACCAGGAAGAAUCUUUUCAGGAGCAAAAGAAAUUUGUUUCCCUUGGUUCUCUGUUAAAGAUAAUAAAUGGCAAUUGCACAGAGACACAUAUAAAAAGUUCCUGUUUAGGAAUGAUCCAUCAAUAUUUGAAAUAGAAACAUCUUCUUUCUUUUGUCAGCUUGACUUCUACUGUAUUUCCUGUCUGGAAGGAAUUUUGCCAGAAUUCCCUUUCUCAAGCUGGUGAAGAGGAAAUGCCAGAUUUCAGGCCCUUUAUCAUCAUGGCUGCUCUCCUCUGAACAUACUUCAGUUUAUUAAUGUCCUUCCUAAAAUGCAGUGCCCACAUGUGAGCACGUUAUUCCAGCAGUGAUCCAGACAAUGCACUUCAUCACAGUGUUGAUCUAAAUUCAACUUACAAUCCAUCAAGGUACCCAGAUCCUUUUCAUAUGCUGCUGUCCAAUAUGGUCUUCUUCCUCCUAUAUUUGUGAACUGAUUUUUCUUACCCCAAUGAAUACUCUGUAUUUGUUCCUGUUCAUCCUGUUGGUUUCUGCUCAUUGUUCCAGCUUGUCAAGAUACUCCUGAAUCUUGAUACUGUCAUCUAAGAUGUUCACUAUUCUACUUAACUUUGUGUUGU